GAACGCUAGCUACAGGCUUAACACAUGCAAGUCGAGGGGCAGCAUAGAAGAAGCUUGCUUCUUCUGAUGGCGACCGGCGCACGGGUGCGUAACGCGUAUCAAACCUGCCUCAUACUCGGGGAUAGCCUUGCGAAAGUAAGAUUAAUACCCGAUGUUGUUAUGUUACCGCAUGGUGAUAUAACCAAAGAUUUAUCGGUAUGAGAUGGUGAUGCGUCCGAUUAGGUAGUAGGCGGGGUAACGGCCCACCUAGCCAUCGAUCGGUAGGGGUUCUGAGAGGAAGGUCCCCCACACUGGAACUGAGACACGGUCCAGACUCCUACGGGAGGCAGCAGUGAGGAAUAUUGGUCAAUGGACGGAAGUCUGAACCAGCCAAGUAGCGUGCAGGAUGACGGCCCUCUGGGUUGUAAACUGCUUUUAGUUGGGAAUAAAAAAGAGGACGUGUCCUCUAUUGUAUGUACCUUCAGAAAAAGGACCGGCUAAUUCCGUGCCAGCAGCCGCGGUAAUACGGAAGGUCCAGGCGUUAUCCGGAUUUAUUGGGUUUAAAGGGAGCGUAGGCGGAUUAUUAAGUCAGUGGUGAAAGACGGUGGCUCAACCAUCGUUAGCCAUUGAAACUGGUAGUCUUGAGUGCAGACAGGGAUGCUGGAACUCGUGGUGUAGCGGUGAAAUGCUUAGAUAUCACGAUGAACUCCGAUCGCGAAGGCAGGUGUCCGGGCUGCAACUGACGCUGAGGCUCGAAAGUGUGGGUAUCAAACAGGAUUAGAUACCCUGGUAGUCCACACAGUAAACGAUGUAUACUCGCGGUUUGCGAUAGACAGUAAGCCGCCAAGCGAAAGCAUUAAGUAUACCACCUGGGGAGUACGCCGGCAACGGG
rnacentral:rRNA from 1 species